CUAAAACAGAGGAACCCAAAUCGGUGUUAACGCGCUUAGUGCAUGAGGCAGAUGAUCCCUCUGUUGUACUAACAUCUAUUUGGUGUUAUUUCUGCCAUCACUUAAUUGUCAUUUCAUUAUCCGCUGUUAUCUAAUUAUCUCUGCUCUACUAGACUAAUGACUUUUCCUGAAAACAGUGACAAAUCUGCUGUAAAUGAGGUCCAGUGCAAAAUGAUGUUUGCAGAUAGUCCAAAGUCGGUUUUGUAAUAUCACAUAAAACAAUAUUGACAUUGUGUGCAAGAGUUGCUGAUGUUUGGUUUGCAGCCCGAUCUUUAUGAUGUGAAGGAGCUAUUUUUACAGCCUUGACCCACUGAAUGAAAGCAAUAGCCCAGAGUCGAGCUCAGUUGGACGGCACAGCUUGAUUAAAUGAGCCGAGAGCACCGUUAUUGGCUGGGAGACAAGAGUUCAGCCGAGCUCUAUGGAGGAGGAAAACAAUUGAGUGCAACAAGAAGUCUUUAAAAUAGAACAUCUCCACCAAGUGUCCCGCAACACUUCUACUAUGACACAACCUAACCACUAAGAGCUUUGCAGACGAGGAGGAUCUUAAAUGUGUCGAGGAACCGGUCCAGAAAAUCUCAUCUCACUUCCUAAUUCCUGUCAGGACAUGUGCCGCAACAUUCUUGACCGACUUUAUAAUCUUUUGAGACUUGCUGCUGUCUCAUGGCAAGUAUGAAAAACAAUAAUAUAAUGUCGAAACUACCAAAUCUGGAAAUAACUCUGUUACGUGAUUAAAAUAUAUGCAAUCAAUUUAAUGGAGGAAGGAGCUGUGACUCAUUCUGGCUGCCUAAAAUCUUCAUUUGAGUAGAACUGGCGAUAGUUUCAAAUUAGCCAAUUUUGAAUUCAUUACACGUCUUAUUUUGGUCAUAUCUCUUUGCCAGCACCCAGUAAAUGACUCCAAUGUCUCCAAGCAUGCUUACUUUUAAUUUUCAUCUUUCUCCCUCAUCCCCUCUUCUGCUC